UUGCUUGUUGCAUGCCUUCUAAACAGCCUACCCUGCCAAGUGCCAUGAUUACUGUGACCACAUCUUCAGAACCAGAAAACAGGAUACCUGGCCCUAAGCAUGCACUCAUGGAGCAGAAGAGUUUUAAAUCUGGAAUGCCACAGAAGACAGAAGAUAACAUGCUUACUACACUUGUAAAGCAACAUGCAGCCAGCCAUUUCCAGUGCAAAUUAUCUCAUUGCAUAGUGUGACAACUAAAGGUCAUAACCAUAAUACAAAUCGUGUUUUUCUUGUAAUCUAUCCUUGGGUUAAAUGUGAACUCCAGGAGAGCAAAGACUUUGUGGGUAUCCCCAGCACUGACAUCUGUGACCAGCAUAUGAUAAACUGUAGUUGUACAUAGGAGAGAAUCAAUAACUAUUUGUAGAACUGAAUAUAUUUUAUUGCAACCCUUUUCAUAAUGUUAAGAUAAUAGACAUCAUAGUGUAACUAACAGUGCCUUAGAAGUGGAUAUCAGAGACUUGGCUACCACCAACAAGAAAUAAACAUUUCUUGGCCCUGUCCACAGCAUUGUUCUAGGAUCUAGAUUCCUCUCUACUUAACUCGGUUUCAUUGCUUCCUAUAAAUUCUAUGUAAAUCUCAGACCCUCAGUAACAUAUCCCAAGACACAUGAUGAGCAACACUUGGUAUUCAGUUUUCUCCAGCGCUGUGAAAGAGUCCCACCAGGAAACAAUAAGGCCUUUUAGCCUAUUAAUUCAUGAGCAAUUUGAUGCCUCUUAGGCGAUAAGUGCAAGUUGAGAAAUGAAUUUCCUGCUGCUAAAAUUCCAACGCUUUAGAAACUCUUCAGUGAACAAAUAAAAGUUUAUUCUUUGCAAUAAUGAUGGAAACAAAGACUUUCAUAAAACCAAACAAUUGAAAUGUCUUGAUAAAUGCCUGCAGAGUUGGCUAGGUUUCUAAACUAUCAAAUAAUGAGUUUACCUCUUCUUACACUUUUUCAAGAAUCCAUUGAAGAAUCAAGAUAGGAAAGAGUAUGAUUCUUCAUUUUUCCUAGCCAUGCUCCACUGCUCUAUG
rnacentral:lncRNA from 10 species